AAAAAUUAAAAAGAAAAAAAAGCAUACCCGACCUGUCGUUCAGCAAUACCGUUAAAAUAAGAACGAGUCCAACCCAAGUAUUUCGACAUGUCGUCAAACAUCGUGAAGAAAAGCCCUAGCACUUCAAUUUCGAGCCCAAAACUGUGUCUAUUUAAUCUUAGUUUCGCCGCAUUCUUCACCGUAUUCUUCACCGCAUACCCAAAAGCCUUCAAUAUCCGAUCUCUUCUUCUCCACUCGUAAUCGCCAUUUCUUUCUCUAAUCUGCCAUUACUCGGGUUUCUCCUUCUUCUCUCUCUGUUUUUCCCAGACGUUUAUGGGCUAUGAUUAGAAAGAGAGAGGCUCGAGUGGGAUUCGAAACUGAAAUCCCUGUUCCGGUUUUUUUCCGAGAAUAGCGAUCGACAGAGGAGAAAAGGAUUGAUUCAAGGUGCCGCCGUCUUCUAAUGAUGGCUUUGGAAGAGGAAGUUGAACUUGUUGAGCUCGAAAACUGAAGAUCCCGAAUGCAUAUCAAAAUGAACCCUAUAGACCAAAUUUUAUAUUUUUAACAUAAAAAAAUAAUUAUUUCCCAAAUCAAGAUAUGUAUGUUUGGACAAAUUGUGGAAUUAAUUCCCAAAUCAAACCAAGCAGAGGGAUAAAAUAAAAAUAAAGAAUUAAUUGGAAUUUUAAAUUCUCAAAUCAUAACAAGAACUGAAAGGGGGACCUGUAUUACUAUUAAGAAAGAACCAAAUUUGAGCAAUGAAAUUAGUAUUAACCUUAAAACGUAAGAAUUCACAACAUUUUUUUUAAUAGAACCUUGUGAAGAAGCCACAGACAUGAUUCAUCGGUUGGAGAUGGGUUUCGUCAUACCCUAUUUAUGGUUAGUUUUGUAAAUGAAACCCUCUUGUAUAUGGAUUAACCUCUCUUUAUUUUAUUGGAUUGAAUAGUUGGCCACAUUUACGAGUAGAAUUAGUAUGAACAACCGAGUACAUCUAUCUCUUAAGUGUUCAAUUUUAAAAUAUAUUGAAGUUGAAAAUUAAAAGUACUAAUCAAAUGUUCAAUUUUAAAAAAUAUUCAAGUUAAAAAAUAAAAGUACAAUUAGUAGUGACAACUGUGUAAUUUGAGUAAUGACGCUACCUUCUUUACUGUUAGAGGUUAGAGAUUGAAUCUUGCAUUUAAAAAAAAAUUGUUUCAUAAUAGAAGUUAACGCAUAAAUGUAAUUAGAUUGAAUCAUUUCCUUUCAAUUUGUUGCAUUUAAAAAAAAAUUGUUUCAUAAUAGAAGAUAAUGCAUAAAUGUGGACUAUCGUGGGACAGUAAUCACACCCAAAGUUAAAUUAGAAACUAGUCUUGUAAUGUCGUAGUUUUUUGUUAGAAAAUUAAACAAAAGAUUGUUAAUCUCAUUCUUAAUUACAUUCUUAAGCUUUAUGUUAUUGGAUAACAAAAAUAGUUCUCUUAUUUGAAGAAUGAAUGAUCUUGUAUUCAAUCUUCUUUCUAAUUCCUCUUAAUUUUAGUGUCAAUCCCUAUUUUGGUAAAGUUUUUUAGGUGUAAAUCACUCCUAACUUCAUAUCAUAUUAUAAUAUCAAAGUUGUAAUUUCAAACGUA